AUUGAACGCUGGCGGCAGGCCUAACACAUGCAAGUCGAACGGUAACAGGAAGAAGCUUGCUUCUUUGCUGACGAGUGGCGGACGGGUGAGUAAUGUCUGGGAAACUGCCUGAUGGAGGGGGAUAACUACUGGAAACGGUAGCUAAUACCGCAUAAUGUCGCAAGACCAAAGAGGGGGACCUUCGGGCCUCUUGCCAUCGGAUGUGCCCAGAUGGGAUUAGCUAGUAGGUGGGGUAACGGCCCACCUAGGCGACGAUCCCUAGCUGGUCUGAGAGGAUGACCAGACACACUGGAACUGAGACACGGUCCAGACUCCUACGGGAGGCAGCAGUGGGGAAUAUUGCACAAUGGGCGCAAGCCUGAUGCAGCUAUGCCGCGUGUAUGAAGAAGGCCUUCGGGUUGUAAAGUACUUUCAGCGGGGAGGAAGGGAGUAAAGUUAAUACCUUUGCUCAUUGACGUUACCCGCAGAAGAAGCACCGGCUAACUCCGUG
rnacentral:rRNA from 1 species